GAUGAACGCUGGCGGCGUGCCUAAUACAUGCAAGUCGAGCGAACAGACGAGGAGCUUGCUCCUCUGACGUUAGCGGCGGACGGGUGAGUAACACGUGGAUAACCUACCUAUAAGACUGGGAUAACUUCGGGAAACCGGAGCUAAUACCGGAUAAUAUAUUGAACCGCAUGGUUCAAUAGUGAAAGACGGUUUUGCUGUCACUUAUAGAUGGAUCCGCGCCGCAUUAGCUAGUUGGUAAGGUAACGGCUUACCAAGGCAACGAUGCGUAGCCGACCUGAGAGGGUGAUCGGCCACACUGGAACUGAGACACGGUCCAGACUCCUACGGGAGGCAGCAGUAGGGAAUCUUCCGCAAUGGGCGAAAGCCUGACGGAGCAACGCCGCGUGAAUGAUGAAGGUCUUCGGAUCGUAAAACUCUGUUAUCAGGGAAGAACAAAUGUGUAAGUAACUAUGCACGUCUUGACGGUACCUAAUCAGAAAGCCACGGCUAACUACGUG
rnacentral:rRNA from 1 species